UGGGGAAUUUUGGACAAUGGGGGCAACCCUGAUCCAGCAAUGCCGCGUGAGUGAAGAAGGCCUUCGGGUUGUAAAGCUCUUUUGUCAGGGAAGAAAAGGGUCUGGCUAAUAUCCAGAUCUGCUGACGGUACCUGAAGAAUAAGCACCGGCUAACUACGUGCCAGCAGCCGCGGUAAUACGUAGGGUGCAAGCGUUAAUCGGAAUUACUGGGCGUAAAGCGUGCGCAGGCGGUUUCGUAAGUCUGUCGUGAAAUUCCCCGGGCUUAACCUGGGAAUGGCGAUGGAGACUGCGAGGCUAGAGUUUGGCAGAGGGGGGUUAGAAUUCCACGUGUAGCAGUGAAAUGCGUAGAGAUGUGGAGGAACACCGAUGGCGAAGGCAGCCCCCUGGGUCAAAACUGACGCUCAUGCACGAAAGCGUGGGGAGCAAACAGGAUUAGAUACCC
rnacentral:rRNA from 1 species